AGAGGUCGAUAUUUGAAGUUUGUUUUUAGGGUUUAGUUUUGUGAGUGAUGAGCGUCAGAGGUGGCUUUUUUACGUCGUUUAAGUCACCGGUCGGAGCAAGGUAG